GGGGAAUAUUGCACAAUGGGGGAAACCCUGAUGCAGCCAUGCCGCGUGUGUGAAGAAGGCCUUCGGGUUGUAAAGCACUUUCAGUUGUGAGGAAAGGUUGGUAGUUAAUACCUGCCAGCUGUGACGUUAACAACAGAAGAAGCACCGGCUAACUCCGUGCCAGCAGCCGCGGUAAUACGGAGGGUGCGAGCGUUAAUCGGAAUUACUGGGCGUAAAGCGCACGCAGGCGGUUUGUUAAGCUAGAUGUGAAAGCCCCGGGCUCAACCUGGGAUGGUCAUUUAGAACUGGCAGACUAGAGUCUUGGAGAGGGGAGUGGAAUUCCAGGUGUAGCGGUGAAAUGCGUAGAUAUCUGGAGGAACAUCAGUGGCGAAGGCGGCUCCCUGGCCAAAGACUGACGCUCAUGUGCGAAAGUGUGGGUAGCGAAC
rnacentral:rRNA from 1 species